UUUCAUCUCAAAUUCCCUUUGGUCUGCUGUGUUUCAUUUCCUCCUCUUUGUUGCAGUUUCCUGGCGUUUGUGGUGGCAAGGGGCAGAAAAUCAAUUGGAGUUGGAGUUCUUGUUCUUUGCUUUAAGUUGAAGAAAAAUGCUCAAACUUCAGGACAAAUGACAGAUUUUAUCGGGGUUGAGCUAGAGAAAAGGAUGUAGUGGGAAUUUGCGGAUUUGUCAUCCGAACUUUGAUUUGGACGCAAAAUACCAUUUCAGAAAGGGAACGACGCCACAAGUCAAACUCACAGCUUUGCUGUGAUGUAAGAUGGAUUUUGGCAUUCUGAGGUCGUUUGGCCUUCCAAAACCUCAUUCAAAGUUUCGUAGUUAAUUUUCAGAAUAAAUGUUGUUUUCAGUUUUAAUGUAAUAACUCUCCUAGCAGCUCAAGGGUUGAGAGAUGUGUAUUUAGACAGGUUUGGUGAACGUUUUUCAUAAUCUCAGAUUUUAAUACAAUUAUCCCAAGAGAAUUCCUCUUAAUUUCUGGUGGAAUCCAGAUUUCUUGUUA